AGCUAAUACUUGCUUUAGCACUCUUGAUUUAUUUCUUGAGUGUGUACUUGUUAAGCCUUAUAAGAAAAGAGUUAUUAACUUAAGGAAUUAUAACAAAGAAGUAACACGUAAUGGAUCAAUCCAUUUUUAGUGUGUAUCAAUCGAGUUUCUGACCUAUCAGCUUUUGAUGUUAGGGUAUUGGCCUAACAUGGCUAUGACGGGUAACGGGGAAUUAGAGUUCGAUUCCGGAGAGGGAGCCUGAGAAAUAGCUACCACAUCUAAGGAAGGCAGCAGGCGCGUAAAUUACCCAAUUCUAAGGAAGAGAGGUAGUGACAAGAAAUAACAAUACAAGGCCAAUCUGGCUUUGUAAUUGGAAUGAUGGGAAUUUAAAACCUUCCCAAAAUUCAAUUGGAGGGCAAGUCUGGUGCCAGCAGCCGCGGUAAUUCCAGCUCCAAUAGCGUAUAUUAAAAUUGUUGCAGUUAAAACGCUCGUAGUUGAAUUUCAAAGAAUCGAUAUUUUAAGUAACGCUUCUAGCUACAAAUCCACAUAACUGAUGCCUCCGCGUAUCGACUUUGUGCGCAUUUUAGCUAUUAUGUGUUCUUUUAAUUAAAAUGAUUCUUUUUAAGAUUCAUCUAUUAAAAAUUUGCUUCGGCAUAAUUUUUUUUGAUGGUCUUGUUACUUUGAGUAAAUUAGAGUGUUCAAAGCAAACAGAUAUAGCAUUUGUGCGUUUGAAUACUACAGCAUGGAAUAACAAAAUUGAACAAGUCAGAAUUUUUUUGUUCUUUUUUCUUAUUUUGGCUUAGUUACGAUUAAUAGGAGUAGCUUGGGGGCAUUUGUAUUCAGAUGUCAGAGGUGAAAUUCUUAGAUUUUCUGGAGACAAACAACUGCGGAAGCAUUUGCCUAAAAUACUUCCAUUAAUCAAGAACGAAAGUUAAGGGAGUGAAGACGAUCAGAUACCGUCGUAAUCUUAACCAUAAACUAUGCCGACUAGGCUUUGGAUGAAAGAUUUUAAAAUAAGAGUUUU
rnacentral:rRNA from 1 species